CCAUUGCAACUGUCUCAACUCCACAAGAGCUGGUUUCUUAUAUAUCCAAGAAAUAUGUGUGCGACAGUCUACUAGGGAGCGUGGCAACAGGUAGUGGUGACGCAACCCAGUGACCGGUUGGACCACGCUCCACCACCACCCUCACGUAGCUGCAUGAGGGACUUGAUGUGGGAGGCAGGGAGGUUGAGCGGGAGGAUCUGGGCGGCUGGCGACCACGUAUAACCGCAAUCUUGUCGGUGUCGAUGACCUGCGUCACCGCCUCUCCAAGCACCCUCAUGCUCGGGCCUCCCCGCUGCCCAGGCCAACAACCACUAGCUGCAGGACAACCCAUGGCUGCUGCAUGUCUUCAUCGAUCUGGUUCUGCAUAGGUUGGAGAGAUGGAGAUGGAUCAAAGGCCGAGUGGACAACCCCACAGUUACUCCUUUGCUGAUCUCUCAGCUAACCUAAUCUCACCAUUUGGACCACCGUGUCAUUUUUAGUGUAUAGAGGUAGUUCACCUUUUCCACAUAUAUAUGAUCUAUCAAAAAACCCGUUACGCGUGAUACAUAUACCACUUGGAGUAGUU